rnacentral:rRNA from 1 species
AUACGGAGGGUGCAAGCGUUAUCCGGAUUCAUUGGGUUUAAAGGGUGCGCAGGCGGGAAAAUAAGUCAGUGGUGAAAGCCUACAGCUCAACUGUAGAACUGCCAUUGAUACUGUUUUUCUUGAGUAUAGAUGAAGUGGGCGGAAUAUAUCAUGUAGCGGUGAAAUGCAUAGAUAUGAUAUAGAACACCGAUUGCGAAGGCAGCUCACUAAACUAUUACUGACGCUCAGGGACGAAAGCGUGGGGAGCGAACAGGAUUAGAUACCCUAGUAGUCC